AAAGCCAAUCUCAGUUCGGAUUGUAGGCUGCAACUCGCCUACAUGAAGUUGGAAUCGCUAGUAAUCGCGAAUCAGAAUGUCGCGGUGAAUACGUUCCCGGGUCUUGUACACACCGCCCGUCACACCACGAGAGUUUACAACACCCGAAGUCAGUGGCCUAACCGCAAGGAGGGAGCUGCCUAAGGUGGGGUAGAUGAUUGGGGUGAAGUCGUAACAAGGUAUC
rnacentral:rRNA from 1 species